rnacentral:tRNA from 1 species
GGCUAUUUAUCUGGGAUAUAUUUUGUCUUGAAAAUAAAAUAGAAGUGUUCGAUUCACUUAAUGGCUU